rnacentral:rRNA from 1 species
GACGAACGCUGGCGGCGUGCCUAAUACAUGCAAGUAGAACGCACAGUUUAUACCGUAGCUUGCUACACCAUAAACUGUGAGUUGCGAACGGGUGAGUAACGCGUAGGUAACCUGCCUGGUAGCGGGGGAUAACUAUUGGAAACGAUAGCUAAUACCGCAUAAUAUUGAUUAUUGCAUGAUAAUUGAUUGAAAGAUGCUAUUGCAUCACUACCAGAUGGACCUGCGUUGUGUUAGCUAGUAGGUGAGGUAACGGCUCACCUAGGCGACGAUACAUAGCCGACCUGAGAGGGUGAUCGGCCACACUGGGACUGAGACACGGCCCAGACUCCUACGGGAGGCAGCAGUAGGGAAUCUUCGGCAAUGGACGAAAGUCUGACCGAGCAACGCCGCGUGAGUGAAGAAGGUUUUCGGAUCGUAAAGCUCUGUUGUAAGAGAAGAACGGGUGUGAGAGUGGAAAGUUCACACUGUGACGGUAUCUUACCAGAAAGGGACGGCUAACUACGUG